rnacentral:rRNA from 1 species
GAAGUAGUAACAGAAGAGAUUCCAGAAGAGGCAUGAGCAUCUUAGCUGAGCUGUUUGAACAGGGAGCGCUUUACGAUGUGCUCUUAGAUUUCGGUGAGACCGUUACUGAUCGCGCACGCUCAAACAUUAGAAUACAACAGACGAGAUACGGAAAGAAGCGCAAGGCUAACACUACAGGAACGCUUGCAGCUUCGCUCUACUAUGACAUGGAUGUUACAGGCACUACUCCUUCUAUCAGCUUUAACUCAUCUGCUGACUAUGGUAAGUGGGUUGAAUACGGUAGGCAAGGUAAGGAUAGUAACUAUCCAGGUAUAGAUAAGCGCUUCGCAGCAAGCGCAGCUAAACCUCCUGUGCCUGCUAUACUAACGUGGAUGAAUCUUAAGAAGAUUAAGCUGCGUAGCAUGGGAGAUACCGGUAAGAUGACGAAGUUCGCUAAGAGCUCAGUCAACAAAGAUGAGCAGAAGCGCUUAGCUGUAGCAACUGCUAUGGCUAAAAGCAUUGAAAAGAAAGGUAUAGCUCCUCUCUACUAUUGGAGAGAUGCAUAUCUUGAGACAUUACCUGAAUACGGUCCACAACUGAACGCAGCAAUGGGUGAAGCUGUUAACAUUUAUAUCUUAAAUCAGACGAGAAAAUUAACUAAUAUUAAACCUGCAUAAUGGCAAUUACAAUUCAUCAGCAGCCCUAUCAAUAUACAGCACUUAAGCAGAAGCUUAUGGUAGUGGCUACUUCAACUAACAUAGGGCAGCCUGGAUUUCGCUACGUGGUAGAAGUGAGCGUUAAUGGUGGCACUAUCAAUACUUUUUACGUGCAGCCUAACUUAUCAGGCGCAUUAGUAUUUGACCUAUAUCCUGUGGUAUAUUCAAAGAUGGAUUUAGGAGUAAACAGCUCAGAUGCUGUACCUUCUUUAUUCGCAUCCACAACAGUGCAAGAUGAUGACACUGCUCGCAAUAUUAUGAGCGUAGCUACUAACAUCUAUGAAGGAUAUGAGGUGCUUGGUGUAUUCACUAAACAGGCUACUGCUUACCCAUUAACAGGAGCAGCUUCAUUGAUUAAUGCAGCGUUUCAGAUUAGUGAUGGCUUUAAUCCUGAUCCUGCUACUCACUUUGCAUUAACGUCAGGCACAAGCUACAUAAUGACUGAUUUAGUACGUAGCACUUACGCUAUGGAUGAUGUAUUAAGCCAAUAUUCUUUGGGUGCUAACACAAUAGGUAUAACAGCUUUUGCUGAUGAUUAUGGGGUACUAACUAUUCCUGCGGCGAAGAUGUAACGGGGCUCAAGACGUGCACCGAAGCUUAGGGUGUGUAGCAAUACACGCGGUAGCGGAGCGUUCCGUAAGCCUGUGAAGCGAUCUGGUAAUGGGUCGUGGAGGUAUCGGAAGUGCGAAUGCAGACAUGAGUAGCGAUAAAGAGGGUGAGAUGCCCUCUCGCCGAAAGCCCAAGGGUUCCUGCGCAAGGCUAAUCCGCGCAGGGUGAGUCGGCCCCUAAGACGAGCCCGAAGGGGGUAGUCGAUGGGAAUCAGGUUAAUAUUCCUGAACCUGGUGGUGUGUGACGGAUCUCGUGUGUUGUCAGACCUUAUCGGAUUGGUCUGGCUUCGAAGAGGUUCCAGGAAAUAGCCCCACCGUAUAGACCGUACCCGAAACCGACACAGGUGGUCAGGUAGAGUAUACCAAGGCGCUUGAGAGAAGUAUCCUGAAGGAACUCGGCAAAUUGCCUCCGUACCUUCGGAAGAAGGAGGCCCCACUUCUGCGCAAGCAGUUGUGGGGGGCACAGGCCAGGGGGUAGCGACUGUUUAGCAAAAACACAGGACUCUGCUAAGUCGGCUUCAAGACGACGUAUAGGGUCUGACACCUGCCCGGUGCCGGAAGGUUAAGAGGAGGAGUGCAAGCUCCGAAUUGAAGCCCCGGUAAACGGCGGCCGUAACUAUAACGGUCCUAAGGUAGCGAAAUUCCUUGUCGGGUAAGUUCCGACCUGCACGAAUGGCGUAACGACUUCCCCACUGUCUCCAGGAUAUGCUCAGCGAAAUUGAAUUCUCCGUGAAGAUGCGGAGUACCCGCGGUUAGACGGAAAGACCCCGUGCACCUUUACUGCAGCUUCAGAGUGGCAUUAGGAAGAAAUUGUGUAGAAUAGGUGGGAGGCUUUGAAGCACCGGCGCCAGCUGGUGUGGAGCCAUAAUGUGAAAUACCACCCUGUUUGUUUCUGAUGUCUAACCUCGCGCCGUUAGCCGGCGUAGGGACCCCCCCGGAUAUCGUGACUGGGAAACAGAUCGGAAGAGCGUCGUGUAGGGAAAGAGUGGUCA